rnacentral:ncRNA from 1 species
CUGGUUGACCCUGCUAGUAGUCAUAUGUAUUUCUGCAAAGGCAUUAAAUCAGUUAUAGUUUAUUUGAUAAUAUCUUGCUACAUAGAUAACUGUGGUAAUUCCAGAGCUAAUACUUGCAAUCAAAGCCCCAACUUCUGGGAGGUGUGUAUUUAUCAGAUAAAAAAACCAAUGUGGCUUGCUGCUCAUUUGGUAAUUCAUAAUAACUUCUUGAGUUGCAUGGCCUUGUGCUGGUGAUGCUUUAUUAAAAUAUCUGUCCUAUCAACUUUUGAUGGUAAGAUAAAGGUCUACCAUAGGUUAACGGGUAAUGGGGAAUAAGGGUUCUAUUCUGGGGAGGGAGCCAGAGAAAUGACUAGGCAGCAAGUGCAUAAACUACCCAAUCCUAAUAUGGGAGGUAGUGACAAUAAAUAACGAUAUAGGGCUCUUUUGGGUCUUAUAAUUUGAAUGAGUACAAUUUAAAUAUAUUAACAAGGAACAGUUGGAGGGCAAGUCUGGUGCCUGCAGCCAUGGUAAUUCCAGCUCCAAUAGCAUAUAUUAAAGCUGUUACAGUUAAAAAGCUUGUAGUUGAACAUAUUAGUAUGGCUUGUAAUGAGAAAAUGGGUACCUGGAGAAAUCUGAAUAUUAUUUGAACAAUGAACAAUAGGAAGAUAAUGAAUUACACCAUUCUG